rnacentral:rRNA from 1 species
GAUGAACGCUGGCGGUGUGCCUAAUACAUGCAAGUCGAGCGAACAGACGAGGAGCUUGCUCCUCUGACGUUAGCGGCGGACGGGUGAGUAACACGUGGAUAACCUACCUAUAAGACUGGGAUAACUUCGGGAAACCGGAGCUAAUACCGGAUAAUAUAUUGAACCGCAUGGUUCAAUAGUGAAAGACGGUUUUGCUGUCACUUAUAGAUGGAUCCGCGCCGCAUUAGCUAGUUGGUAAGGUAACGGCUUACCAAGGCAACGAUGCGUAGCCGACCUGAGAGGGGGAUCGGCCACACUGGAAAUGGGAAAAGGGCCAAACCCCUAAGGGAAGCAGGAGUAGGGAAACUUCCGGAAAGGGCGAAAGCCUGAAGGGGGAAAGCCGGGGGAGGGAAGAAGGGCUUCGGAUCGGAAAACUUUGUUAUUAGGGAAGAACAAAUGUGGAAGUAACUAUGCAAGUCUUGAAGGUACCUAAUCAGAAAGCCAAGGCUAAAUAAGUG